rnacentral:rRNA from 2 species
UUAAGCGACUAAGCGUACACGGUGGAUGCCCUGGCAGUCAGAGGCGAUGAAGGACGUGCUAAUCUGCGAUAAGCGUCGGUAAGGUGAUAUGAACCGUUAUAACCGGCGAUUUCCGAAUGGGGAAACCCAGUGUGAUUCGUCACACUAUCAUUAACUGAAUCCAUAGGUUAAUGAGGCGAACCGGGGGAACUGAAACAUCUAAGUACCCCGAGGAAAAGAAAUCAACCGAGAUUCCCCCAGUAGCGGCGAGCGAACGGGGAGCAGCCCAGAGCCUGAAUCAGUGUGUGUGUUAGUGGAAGCGUCUGGAAAGGCGCGCGAUACAGGGUGACAGCCCCGUACACAAAAAUGCACAUGCUGUGAGCUCGAUGAGUAGGGCGGGACACGUGGUAUCCUGUCUGAAUAUGGGGGGACCAUCCUCCAAGGCUAAAUACUCCUGACUGACCGAUAGUGAACCAGUACCGUGAGGGAAAGGCGAAAAGAACCCCGGCGAGGGGAGUGAAAAAGAACCUGAAACCGUGUACGUACAAGCAGUGGGAGCACGCUUCGGCGUGUGACUGCGUACCUUUUGUAUAAUGGGUCAGCGACUUAUAUUCUGUAGCAAGGUUAACCGAAUAGGGGAGCCGAAGGGAAACCGAGUCUUAACUGGGCGUUAAGUUGCAGGGUAUAGACCCGAAACCCGGUGAUCUAGCCAUGGGCAGGUUGAAGGUUGGGUAACACUAACUGGAGGACCGAACCGACUAAUGUUGAAAAAUUAGCGGAUGACUUGUGGCUGGGGGUGAAAGGCCAAUCAAACCGGGAGAUAGCUGGUUCUCCCCGAAAGCUAUUUAGGUAGCGCCUCGUGAAUUCAUCUCCGGGGGUAGAGCACUGUUUCGGCAAGGGGGUCAUCCCGACUUACCAACCCGAUGCAAACUGCGAAUACCGGAGAAUGUUAUCACGGGAGACACACGGCGGGUGCUAACGUCCGUCGUGAAGAGGGAAACAACCCAGACCGCCAGCUAAGGUCCCAAAGUCAUGGUUAAGUGGGAAACGAUGUGGGAAGGCCCAGACAGCCAGGAUGUUGGCUUAGAAGCAGCCAUCAUUUAAAGAAAGCGUAAUAGCUCACUGGUCGAGUCGGCCUGCGCGGAAGAUGUAACGGGGCUAAACCAUGCACCGAAGCUGCGGCAGCGACACUAUGUGUUGUUGGGUAGGGGAGCGUUCUGUAAGCCUGUGAAGGUGUACUGUGAGGUAUGCUGGAGGUAUCAGAAGUGCGAAUGCUGACAUAAGUAACGAUAAAGCGGGUGAAAAGCCCGCUCGCCGGAAGACCAAGGGUUCCUGUCCAACGUUAAUCGGGGCAGGGUGAGUCGACCCCUAAGGCGAGGCCGAAAGGCGUAGUCGAUGGGAAACAGGUUAAUAUUCCUGUACUUGGUGUUACUGCGAAGGGGGGACGGAGAAGGCUAUGUUGGCCGGGCGACGGUUGUCCCGGUUUAAGCGUGUAGGCUGGUUUUCCAGGCAAAUCCGGAAAAUCAAGGCUGAGGCGUGAUGACGAGGCACUACGGUGCUGAAGCAACAAAUGCCCUGCUUCCAGGAAAAGCCUCUAAGCAUCAGGUAACAUCAAAUCGUACCCCAAACCGACACAGGUGGUCAGGUAGAGAAUACCAAGGCGCUUGAGAGAACUCGGGUGAAGGAACUAGGCAAAAUGGUGCCGUAACUUCGGGAGAAGGCACGCUGAUAUGUAGGUGAAGCGACUUGCUCGUGGAGCUGAAAUCAGUCGAAGAUACCAGCUGGCUGCAACUGUUUAUUAAAAACACAGCACUGUGCAAACACGAAAGUGGACGUAUACGGUGUGACGCCUGCCCGGUGCCGGAAGGUUAAUUGAUGGGGUUAGCGGUAACGCGAAGCUCUUGAUCGAAGCCCCGGUAAACGGCGGCCGUAACUAUAACGGUCCUAAGGUAGCGAAAUUCCUUGUCGGGUAAGUUCCGACCUGCACGAAUGGCGUAAUGAUGGCCAGGCUGUCUCCACCCGAGACUCAGUGAAAUUGAACUCGCUGUGAAGAUGCAGUGUACCCGCGGCAAGACGGAAAGACCCCGUGAACCUUUACUAUAGCUUGACACUGAACAUUGAGCCUUGAUGUGUAGGAUAGGUGGGAGGCUUUGAAGUGUGGACGCCAGUCUGCAUGGAGCCGACCUUGAAAUACCACCCUUUAAUGUUUGAUGUUCUAACGUUGACCCGUGAUCCGGGUUGCGGACAGUGUCUGGUGGGUAGUUUGACUGGGGCGGUCUCCUCCUAAAGAGUAACGGAGGAGCACGAAGGUUGGCUAAUCCUGGUCGGACAUCAGGAGGUUAGUGCAAUGGCAUAAGCCAGCUUGACUGCGAGCGUGACGGCGCGAGCAGGUGCGAAAGCAGGUCAUAGUGAUCCGGUGGUUCUGAAUGGAAGGGCCAUCGCUCAACGGAUAAAAGGUACUCCGGGGAUAACAGGCUGAUACCGCCCAAGAGUUCAUAUCGACGGCGGUGUUUGGCACCUCGAUGUCGGCUCAUCACAUCCUGGGGCUGAAGUAGGUCCCAAGGGUAUGGCUGUUCGCCAUUUAAAGUGGUACGCGAGCUGGGUUUAGAACGUCGUGAGACAGUUCGGUCCCUAUCUGCCGUGGGCGCUGGAGAACUGAGGGGGGCUGCUCCUAGUACGAGAGGACCGGAGUGGACGCAUCACUGGUGUUCGGGUUGUCAUGCCAAUGGCACUGCCCGGUAGCUAAAUGCGGAAGAGAUAAGUGCUGAAAGCAUCUAAGCACGAAACUUGCCCCGAGAUGAGUUCUCCCUGACUCCUUGAGAGUCCUGAAGGAACGUUGAAGACGACGACGUUGAUAGGCCGGGUGUGUAAGCGCAGCGAUGCGUUGAGCUAACCGGUACUAAUGAACCGUGAGGCUUAACCUU